GAUGAACGCUGGCGGCGUGCCUAACACAUGCAAGUCGAGCGAACCCUUCGGGGUGAGCGGCGGACGGGUGAGUAACGCGUGGGUAACCUGCCCUGUACACACGGAUAACAUACCGAAAGGUAUGCUAAUACGAGAUAAUAUGUAAUGAUCGCAUGGUCGAUACAUCAAAGCUCCGGCGGUACAGGAUGGACCCGCGUCUGAUUAGCUAGUUGGUGAGGUAAUGGCUCACCAAGGCGACGAUCAGUAGCCGACCUGAGAGGGUGAUCGGCCACAUUGGAACUGAGACACGGUCCAAACUCCUACGGGAGGCAGCAGUGGGGAAUAUUGCACAAUGGGCGAAAGCCUGAUGCAGCAACGCCGCGUGAGCGAUGAAGGCCUUCGGGUCGUAAAGCUCUGUCCUCAAGGAAGAUAAUGACGGUACUUGAGGAGGAAGCCCCGGCUAACUACGUGCCAGCAGCCGCGGUAAUACGUAGGGGGCUAGCGUUAUCCGGAUUUACUGGGCGUAAAGGGUGCGUAGGCGGUCUUUCAAGUCAGGAGUGAAAGGCUACGGCUCAACCGUAGUAAGCUCUUGAAACUGUAAGACUUGAGUGCAGGAGAGGAGAGUGGAAUUCCUAGUGUAGCGGUGAAAUGCGUAGAUAUUAGGAGGAACACCAGUUGCGAAGGCGGCUCUCUGGACUGUAACUGACGCUGAGGCACGAAAGCGUGGGGAGCAAACAGGAUUAGAUACCCUGGUAGUCCACGCCGUAAACGAUGAGUACUAGCUGUCGGAGGUUACCCCCUUCGGUGGCGCAGCUAACGCAUUAAGUACUCCGCCUGGGAAGUACGCUCGCAAGAGUGAAACUCAAAGGAAUUGACGGGGACCCGCACAAGUAGCGGAGCAUGUGGCUUAAUUCGAAGCAACGCGAAGAACCUUACCUAAGCUUGACAUCCUUUUGACCUCUCCUUAAUCGGAGAUUUCCCUUCGGGGACAGAAGUGACAGGUGGUGCAUGGUUGUCGUCAGCUCGUGUCGUGAGAUGUUGGGUUAAGUCCCGCAACGAGCGCAACCCUUGCCUUUGGUUGCCAGCAUUAAGUUGGGCACUCUAGAGGGACUGCCAGGGAUAACCUGGAGGAAGGUGGGGAUGACGUCAAAUCAUCGUGCCCCUUAUGCUUAGGGCUACACACGUGCUACAAUGGGUGGUACAGAGGGCAGCCAAGUCGUGAGACGGAGCUAAUCCCUUAAAGCCAUUCUCAGUUCGGAUUGUAGGCUGAAACUCGCCUACAUGAAGCUGGAGUUACUAGUAAUCGCAGAUCAGAAUGCUGCGGUGAAUGCGUUCCCGGGUCUUGUACACACCGCCCGUCACACCAUGGGAGUUGGGGGCGCCCGAAGCCGGAUAGCUAACCUUUUGGAAGCGUCCGUCGAAGGUGAAACCAAUAACUGGGGUGAAGUCGUAACAAGGUAA
rnacentral:rRNA from 1 species